rnacentral:lncRNA from 1 species
UUGUCUCUGCAAAAGAGGAAAAUAGGUAAAAUGAGGCAAUCAGACCUCUACAAGUAGAAUCAGAUGAGCGAGUUCCUGAUGAUGAUCUAGAAUUGUCUCUUACUUUUCAGUAUUCUAUCUUACACAUAUUUUUGUUUCGACUUUUUUAUAGGCAAAAAUAUGGUGCGAAGUUAAUGUAGAUAUAAACAAGCGGACAGUGAUCCAUCAAGAUUGCUAUCCUAAGGUGCGAACCUUUUGUUUCCUUAAUUUUUUUGUCCAAACGUCUAAGCUUAUUGCUUAUUAUUGGGGUUCAACUGAUACCACUUUUCCUUGGGUGCACCAAAAAAAGGAGAAAAAUAUAUAUAAAUCUGGUGCUUAGGCAAUUAAUAAAUGGUGUUUAACAGUACAACCAAUGUCUGAUGGUCUCCUAUGAUACACAACCCUAUGAGUUUUAAUCAUGUACUACCUUUGUCCAACUUUAUGUGUCUCCUUUCUUUGAGUAUGUUCAUCAUUGAUGCAUUUAAAGGCAUUCCAAAAACAUAUUUAUGUAAUUUAUAUUUGAAGUGUUUUUACAUCCGCAGUGCAUUUAUAUGUUAUUUUCACGUAUAUAUUACUCAUUAAAAAAAGUAUGCAGAAUACAAUCUAUAAAUUUGUUUCCAUGGCAUCUUAAAAUUGAGCCCAAGAAAGGAUACAAGUAAAGUUGGAUGAAGUCUUUUUUUCUUCUUAUGGGGUAAAAGGAGUAUUUGUUUUGGAAGUAAUAUUUUUUGUUAUUACUACCUAUCAACCAUUAACUAGCACACAUGAAUUUAGUUCCAUAAGAAAGUUGCAGCAGCGCAGUAUCUAGUUAAUAUGUUAGUAGGAGAGGUCUAGUUGCAACAGAAAAUUGGCUUCUGCUUCCCAAUUUCAUUCCAUCUUGCCUUAAGUUUUAUGAAGAGCAUGUCCCCCCUCCACAAUUGGGUGUAGUACUAUUUUAUUUAAGUGCUGCAAGAAUUGCUGGUUGUGUUCUAACAUGUCAUUCCAGUCUAUAAUGGCUGUGAUUGGUAACUGAGUUGCUUAUGAUAUGUAUGGGAGUUGGAUGGUUCCCCAAGCAAUUGUACAUGUGCCUAUGUUUUUACUAUAUUAGAUUCAUUUGCAACAUGGUAUAUACUUUAUUCAUUUGAAACAGUACUUAUGCGGGUAGAGUUUCUUUUCUAAUUGAAGUACUUGUAUUCAUUAUGCAGUGACUGUUGUACAUAUUGUAGAAGCUAGAGAUGGUCCUAAAGAUGAGGUGAAAGCCGAAGAAUGGUUUUAUGCAAGAGGUAAUACCAUUUGAUCCUGUCAGCUGUCACUCCAUGUUCUUGAUUGCUCACUGCGUGGAAUCUUGCUUAUAGAUUGAUGCAUGCUGCUAUUGUUAAGAUGUGAUUGACAAGGAUGAUAUACUCUUUAACAAUAGUGAAAUAUCUGUGUCAUUUGUUUCUCAAUAUGCUCAAUAGAAUUAGUUAUUGAGGAAUAUUAAAUACAAUACAUAUCACAAGAUUCUUGCUUUAAGAUGAAUAAUUAUCAUUCACGAUAGAUUUCUAUAAUAGAUCUCUAGCUUGAUAUUGGGUUUCAUGUGGCAAAAAUUUAGUCCUCAAGACCCUUAAGUAAUGAAGUAGUUGGUUUCAUGCCUUGUAUAUGUCUACCAAUCUGGUGUGCAAUUCUAUUUAAAAAGGUAGUUUUUUUAUGUAUAUGUACGG